rnacentral:rRNA from 1 species
UUUCCGGUUGAUCCUGCCGGACCUGACUGCUAUCGGAUUGGUACUAAGCCAUGUGAGUCAUUGUAGCAAUACAAGGCAUACGGCUCAGUAACACGUAGUCAAUCUGCCCUAUGGACGUGGAUAACCUCGGGAAACUGAGAAUAAUCCGCGAUAGAUCAUAAUGCCUGGAACGGUUUAUGGUCCAAAUGAUUCGUCGCCAUAGGAUGGGACUGCGGCCUAUCAGCUUGUUGGUGAGGUAAUGGCCCACCAAGGCUAUUACAGGUACGGGCUCUGAGAGGAGAAGCCCGGAGAUGGGUACUGAGACACGGACCCAGGCCCUAUGGGGCGCAGCAGGCGAGAAACCUUUGCAAUGUGCGCAAGCACGACAAGGUUAAUCCGAGUGUUUCCUGCUAAAGGAAUCUUUUGUUAGUUCUAAAACCACUGAUGAAUAAGGGGUGGGCAAGUUCUGGUGUCAGCCGCCGCGGUAAAACCAGCACCUCAAGUGGUCAGGAUGAUUAUUGGGCCUAAAGCAUCCGUAGCCGGUUCUGUAAGUUUCCGGUUAAAUCCACUAGCUCAACUAAUGGGCUGCCGGAAAUACUGCAGAACUAGGGAGUGGGAGAGGUAGACGGUACUCGGGAGGAAGGGGUAAAAUCCUUUGAUCUCUUGAUGACCACCUGUGGCGAAGGCGGUCUACCAGAACACGUUCGACGGUGAGGGAUGAAAGCUGGGGGAGCAAACCGGAUUAGAUACCCGGGUAGUCYCAGCUGUAAACGAUGCAGACUCGGUGAUGCACUGGCUUUUGGCCAGUGCAGUGCCGCAGGGAAGCCGUUAAGUUUGCCGCCUGGGAAGUACGUACGCAAGUAUGAAACUUAAAGGAAUUGGCGGGGGAGCACCACAAGGGGUGAAGCCUGCGGUUCAAUUGGAUUCAACGCCGGAA